UCCAGGGUAACCUAGUGGACAUGGCAUCCAGUAAACGGAACAUUGUGGGUUCGAUUCCCAUCCCUGGAC